rnacentral:hammerhead_ribozyme from 1 species
GCACUGCUGAGGAGUCCCAUAAUAGGACGAAACGCCCGUCCAGUGU